GCUCCUUCUACAUUUCUAGUUUGUAGAACUAGCCCCAGCUUCAGGUAAUUCUGAACUAACAGCUUGAGACUAUGCAUUGCCUUUCAAAUGUUAAGGCAACACCUUGCUAUCUAACUAUAGGCUUCACCUCCAAACCUAGUAGUUGGUCAGUCCUCUUGCAAGGAGGACAGACUGCAAAAGAAAAUUGCAGGCCGUUUUUGUUUUUUUUUUUAAGAGGAAACUGCCUUCAGACUCCAUGACAAGCUCAACUGUACUGAGCCUGGAAGCAGCCUGAAGCCAUAGGUAGGUUUUCAGCAGGGAGUGCUGAAUCAGAGCUACUACUGCACUAUCAGGGCAACAUGUUUAAAAAAAAAUUCCUGUGAGCUGAAACUUGGCAUACAAGGUCAAUGCCGGGACGUACUCUCCCUUGCUGCCUCCCUCUUUGAAAGCUUUCUACAACCAGGUAAAGUAGUACAAACUCUAAAGAUCUGAGCAUUGCUAUUUGAUGUACUAGGUUUCUGUAAUUCAAGAACAGAUCUUUAAAAAAAAUAAACGCACCACAUACACAAAGAACACCAGAUUCAAUCAGGGUUUAACCCACCUUGGAACCUUGUGGUGAAAAGUCUGCUGUAGAGAUGGUGUAAAGGGACUGCAACUUCAAUCAUUUCUCUCUAUCCCUCUCGUUUCAAUGUGAGGUAUUAUAUACAAAAACAGCCCAAAAAAGCAAAUAUUGCUGGCUGGAAGAGGAUUUUCAGAAGGAGUUAAAGCUACUUUUAUGGCCCACAAACCCAACCCUUAAUGGAAAACCUAGAGGGAGGACAGCACAGGAAGACUAAUUGCUCUACUGAAGGGUAUGGCUGGAGAACGAUUAGCAGAUACUGCACCUCGCUGUGAUGCGAGUUUCCGCAAGACAGUACAGACAUCACUGCUGGUCGGCGCUGACAGAGAAGGAUUGCGGGCAGGAAGCACAGAGUUUGAAGCUUGGAGUUCUGGAACACAGCCAAAGCUGCAGACACUAAAGGUUCUGACCUGGACCAUGUGGUGGCGAGAUGGUACUGGACAGGCAGUACUGCCCCGCCCAUUAUCCCCUCAGGUGGAGACAUGAGCUGCUGCUGUGGAAUACUGGACCCUGAUGAGAAGAAAGAAGAGGACUAGGGAGGCCAGGUUCAGCAAUAUCCUGCAAGCCAGGGCUACACUGAACUGUGAACAAAGGGCCUGAUGGGCCAAUAUGGCAGAAAGCAUGGAGAAGAAAAGAGCGGACAGGAAAAGGAGAGGGAGAGCCUCAGGAAAUAACAGGGUUUCUCAGGCAGCAAACCCAAAUACUGCAGACCCUCAUUAACCUACAAGUCCAACAAUCAUGGACUCACCACUCUUUGCAGUCACUGGAGAGCUCUGGCAUAGCAGCUCCCUACACUCCCGAAUAUUCCAUGUGGCACCACAUCCUACCACUACAUGCCUGGAGACGGCAAGGACAACCACAGUGUCACGUACACUGAGCUGCGAAAGCCACAGUUGGUGGAUCUGUCGCCAAAAUCGAUGACAUUUGUGCACUGAAGUGGACAGAAAUGUUGGUUGCUUUUUCAAUUUCGAAGUUCCAGUCCGUUAAUUUAUGUUAGA